ACUCUCGUUGCUUUGGCGGGCCGCCGGGCCCUGCCCGGCCGCCGGCCCCGGCUGGCGCGUGCCCGCCAGAGACCUCACAGACUCUGAAUGUUAGUGUCGUCCGAGUAACUAUACAAUCGUUAAAACUUUCAACAACGGAUCUCUUGGUUCUGGCAUCGAUGAAGAACGCAGCGAAAUGCGAUAAGUAAUGCGAAUUGCAGAAUUCAGUGAGUCAUCGAAUCUUUGAACGCACAUUGCGCCCUGUGGUAUUCCGCAGGGCAUGCCUGUUCGAGCGUCAUUUCAACCCUCAAGCCUCGCUUGGUGUUGGGCCCUGCCCGCCGCGGCCGGCCCUAAAGAUAGUGGCGGCGCCGCCUGGCCCUCAGCGUAGUACAGCUCUCGCUCCAGGGUCCGGCGGCAGCCUGCCAGAACCCCCCAACUCUGUGGUUGACCUCGGAUCAGGUAGGGAUACCCGCU
rnacentral:rRNA from 1 species